rnacentral:lncRNA from 1 species
UUUUUUUUUUUUUUUUUUUUUUUUUUUGAGCUAGGGUUUCGCUAUGCUGCCUAGGCUGGUCUAGGCUCAAGCUCUCCUCCUGCCUCAGCGUUCUGAGUGCUGGACUUACAGGUUUACAGGUUUGUGUCACCAAACCCAAUCGAACAGACAUUUCUUGAAAGAAGACAUACAAAUGGCCAAAAAAUAUGUGAAAAAAAUGCCCAGUAUCACUGAUAAUCAGAGAAAUGCAAAUCCAAACCACAGUGAAGUAUCAUCUCAGCUGUUAGGAUGAGUAUGAUCAAAAAGACAAACAGUAACAAGUGCUGGCGAGGAUAUGGAGAACAGGGAGCUGUGACACACUGUAGGGGUGGACACUAGAGCAGCUGGCUGGCCGCGGGCCGCACGCUCACAUCCCAGCACUUUGGGAGGCCGAGGCGGGCAGAUCACCUGAGGUCAGGAGUUUGAAACCAGCCUGGCCAACGUGGUGAAACCCCGUCUUUACUAAAAACAAAAAUGAGCUGGGAGCGGUGGAUCACACCUGUAGUCCCAGCACUGUUGGGCGGCUGAGGUGGGCGGGUCACUUGAGGCCAGGAGUUCAAGACCAGCCUGGCCAACGUGGUGAAACCCCAUCUCUACUAAAAAAUACAAAAAUUUGCCAGGUGCAGUGACGGGCGCUCGUAAUCCCAGCUACUCAGGAGGCCGAGGCAUGAGAACCACUGGAACCCGGGAGGCGGAUGCUACAGUGAGCAAGUCGAGAUUACACGAAUGUACUCCAGCCUGGGCAACAGUGAGACUAUGUCUCGAAGAGAAAAAGGAAAAAGAAGACAGGACCUCCCUCUGUUGCUCAGGCCGGUCUGGAAUUCCUGGUUUCAAGUGACUCUCCUGCUUCAUCCUCCCAAAGUGCUGUGAUUGCAGGCAUGUGCCACUGCCUGGCCCCAUAUAAGUGGGAUGAUGACUUUAGCCUAGGAGUUCCACACCAGCCUGGGUAACGUGGCACAAGACCCUCUCUCUACAAAAAACUAAAAGAAACUAACUGUUCAUGAUGACACCUGCCUGUGGUCCCAGCUACUCCAGGAGGCUGAGGCAGGAGGAUAACUUGAGCCCAGGAGUUGAGGCUGCAGUGAGCUCUGAUCUUGUCAUUACGUUCCAGCCUGGGUGACAGAGUGAGACGCUGUCUCUUAAAAAAAGUUACUGGCUACCUGAUUGUUCAUAGGAAAAAAACCUGAACUCUGAUCUAAACCUCAUACCUCGUACAAAAAUUAACUAAAAUGGAUCAUGGACUAAAAUGGAAAAUGGAAAAUAAAGAUGAAGAGAGGAGCUAGAGACUGGGAGAA